GUGUGUAUGUGAGUGUGAGUGUGUGUGUGUGUGUGUGAUUGUGAGUGUGUGUGUGUGAGCAACACAAACUGCUAAUUGGUGUUUCUGACAGGAAGCCCACCCGAGUCCCUCUGCAUGAAGCCCCGCCUCUUUCGCCCCACCAUCCAAUCAGAUUCUGCAGUGGAGCUGUUUACAAACCUCAUCUCUCUCUCUCACACACACACACACACACACACACUGCCCUGGGAAAUAUGAAUCCAGAAGACAAAGAGACGCUUGGGUUUGUGGACGUUGGCGCCGUUGACUGUUUCCCGUCUGGAUUAAUGUUUUGAUUCGAAGCUUCGAUUCCUGAUUCCGUGGCGGCGCUCUGCUCUUUCUCCGGCAGGACGGCCGUCGUGCUCCAGGGCUGCACUUGUGUUCAUACUUGUGUUCAGGGAAACGUACCGAUGUACAGAGAUCCAGCAAACUGUCCAUAAACUCGCAACUGCUUGAGCGCAAGAUAAACACGCAGUCGUCAUGGAGACGUGACGCAGCCGCUGCUCGAAAUACAUCAUCAUCAUCAUCAUCAUCGUCACAUUGUCUCCUCCUUCAUGGCAUUGACUCGUGCUGCUCUGUGAGGACUCGUGCGAUAGUCAUGGAUUUUAUUGAAGGUUUUUGCAAUAAUAGUGAUUACGAUGAUGAACUUUUGCACUGGAAGCUCCUGAUGUGUCUCACGCUGACUGUUCUUCCCAACUCCACAACUGCGUUCUUGUUUUUCAUCGACAGAUUUAAUAAAGUUGUAAAUUAAUGGA